UACGGAGGAUGCAAGCGUUAUCCGGAUUUAUUGGGUUUAAAGGGUGCGCAGGUUGUUUGAUAAGUCAGUGGUGAAAGUCUGUCGCUUAACGGUAGGAUUGCCAUUGAUACUGUUGGACUUGAAUAUGGAUGAGGUAGGCGGAAUGUGUAGUGUAGCGGUGAAAUGCAUAGAUAUUACACAGAACACCGAUUGCGAAGGCAGCUUACUAAUCCAUCAUUGACGCUGAGGCACGAAAGCGUGGGGAGCAAACAGGA
rnacentral:rRNA from 1 species